AGAGUUGAUUAUGGCUCAGGAUGAACGCUAGCGACAGGCUAACACAUGCAAGUCGAGGGGCAGCAUAAAAGUAGCAAUACUUGGUGGCGACCGGCGCACGGGUGAGUAACGCGUAUGCAACCUACCUAUCAGGAGGGGAAUAACCCGGCGAAAGUCGGACUAAUACCGCAUAAAACAGGGGCACCGCAUGGUGAUAUUUGUUAAAGAAAUUCGCUGAUAGAUGGGCAUGCGUUCUAUUAGGUAGUUGGUGAGGUAACGGCUCACCAAGCCGACGAUGGAUAGGGGAACUGAGAGGUUGGUCCCCCACACUGGUACUGAGACACGGACCAGACUCCUACGGGAGGCAGCAGUGAGGAAUAUUGGUCAAUGGGCGGGAGCCUGAACCAGCCAAGUCGCGUGAAAGGAAGAAGGAUCUAUGGUUCGUAAACUUCUUUUGCAGGGGAAUAAAGUGCAGGACGUGUCCUGUUUUGUAUGUACCCUGAGAAUAAGGAUCGGCUAACUCCGUGCCAGCAGCGGC
rnacentral:rRNA from 1 species